GACGAACGCUGGCGGCGUGCCUAAUACAUGCAAGUCGAGCGAAGUUUUUCUGGUGCUUGCACCGGAAAAACUUAGCGGCGAACGGGUGAGUAACACGUAAAGAACCUGCCUCAUAGACUGGGACUACUAUUGGAAACGAUAGCUAAUACCGGAUAAUAGCAUUAACUGCAUGGUUGAUGUUUAAAAGUUUGUUUUGCUAACACUAUGAGAUGGCUUUGCGGUGCAUUAGCUAGUUGGUGGGGUAAAGGCCUACCAAGGCGACGAUGCAUAGCCGACCUGAGAGGGUGAUCGGCCACACUGGGACUGAGACACGGCCCAGACUCCUACGGGAGGCAGCAGUAGGGAAUCUUCCGCAAUGGGCGAAAGCCUGACGGAGCAACGCCGCGUGAGUGAAGAAGGAUUUCGGUUCGUAAAGCUCUGUUGUUAGGGAAGAAUGAUUGUGUAGUAACUAUACACAGUAGAGACGGUACCUAACCAGAAAGCCACGGCUAACUACGUG
rnacentral:rRNA from 1 species